CAUUAGCCAUGCGGUCAUCCAGGUGAAUCUGAACCUGGCUCUCUCCUCAUCACCGUAUGCUCCAAAAGUGCCCUGCCUCCAGAGGAAACAACAACCACCUCUGGAUGAUGUGUGUUGUGCCUUGAUGAACUAAAUGCAGAAACAAAGCAAGAGCUGGAGGCUGUGAAAGGAAUGAAGCCUGGUCUGGUCAUAAAGGAAUUGGGAAUGGACCUGUUGAGGAAAGAUACAGAUUGGUAAAUCCUCCUGCACCAGCUGCCCUGCCAGUAGCUGGAGGAGAAGGGGAGGAGCGGGGACCACCUGGCAUUCAAGCUGGGCACCGUCAUUGCCAGACACUCAAGCAGCAGUGCACAGCCUGUGUGGUAAGACUUGGGUGAAGAUGGUCAAGGCCAAUCUCCUGUGAGUGGGAGAGACACAUAAGUAGGUGGGUUUGCUCCGUAUUUGAUCAGACCCUGGUGGGGUUUGCUUUUGGGGGUAGGGGAGGUGUAACAGCCAGAACCAGAGGAAUUAAUAAGCAAUAAAAUAUGUGCUUCUUGGAGGCAUUUGGUAUUUUGCCUAAACAGGUCAUAUUAGUUCAUAACAGCUUGUAAGUUUGUAAACUGCAAAUGUAACUUGUCUGUCAUAAGUUUAACCAAACUGAUAAAUAAACUGUUAGUGGAACUGACUGGGCCCCAGAGGCAAAGCUGUAGCUGUGAGAUUAGCUGGCCUAAUGGUUUUUUGCUCAGGGUUCAGCCUUAGUGAUAAAAACUGGAUCUAACUACUCGACACAUCCAACACGCUCAGGAAAGCAUAUCCCAAGAAAGCAUAUUCAACUGAAGCCUAGAAAGGGUCGAAAUUUAGGCGGAGCAAUGUCAAUUUCAAAUCUAAAGGUGCUGCCUCAUAAUUUGUGUAUUGGAUAAACCCGAGUCUGGGUAGUAAUCUUUUAUGAUCAUUUUAACACCUUUCAAUCCCAUAGGGUAGCAGCUAUAGGGCAACAUUGUGAGUGGCCUUGAGGCCAACAGAUUAACAUAAGACUAGGUAUAAAAAGCACGUACAUCAGGUGACCAGCAGGAAGAAGGGAACACAACGGUCAUUUCUGUUCCACGCCCGGACCCCGGACUCCUGGUGUGAGUGAGGAUUGGAUCCUGAUCAAGGGAACUUCCCCGGUAAUCCCUCUGACAGCGUCGAACGGGGACGCCUGACUUCGCUGGAAUCACUUGGCGCACACCUGGCAUUGAGGGACUAUCGAUAAGUUGCCAACCCAUGUGUGUCUAUCUGUUGUUUUGAACAGCCCUGUGUGGCUAAUACCCUUGCAGUGCCCAGUUGGCCUGUGACAGAUUGAUCUGUCUAUCUGUUGUUAUUAUUUACUAUUAGCUCUUUUAUACUGCAUUAUCUGCUUAUCGCAUUUAUCUUUCUGUUAUCUGCUGUGUGUGUGUAAGCUAUAAUAAAUUUGCCUUUAUUUCACUC